rnacentral:rRNA from 1 species
UACGUAGGGUGCGAGCGUUGUCCGGAAUUACUGGGCGUAAAGAGCUCGUAGGCGGCUUGUCACGUCGGGUGUGAAAGCCCGGGGCUUAACCCCGGGUCUGCAUUCGAUACGGGCUAGCUAGAGUGUGGUAGGGGAGAUCGGAAUUCCUGGUGUAGCGGUGAAAUGCGCAGAUAUCAGGAGGAACACCGGUGGCGAAGGCGGAUCUCUGGGCCAUUACUGACGCUGAGGAGCGAGAGCGUGGGGAGCGAACAGG